rnacentral:rRNA from 1 species
ACGGAAGGCAGCAGUGGGGGAUAUUGCACAAUGGGGGAAACCCUGAUGCAGCAACGCCGCGUGAAGGAAGAAGGUCUUCGGAUUGUAAACUUCUGUUUUUAGUGAAGAAACAAAUGACGGUAGCUAAGGAGGAAGCCACGGCUAACUACGUGCCAGCAGCCGCGGUAAUACGUAGGUGGCAAGCGUUGUCCGGAUUUACUGGGUGUAAAGGGUGCGCAGGCGGGACUGCAAGUUGGAUGUGAAAUACCGAGGCUUAACCUCGGGGCUGCAUCCAAAACUGUAGUUCUUGAGUGGAGUAGAGGUAAGCGGAAUUCCGAGUGUAGCGGUGAAAUGCGUAGAUAUUCGGAGGAACACCAGUGGCGAAGGCGGCUUACUGGGCUCUAACUGACGCUGAGGCACGAAAGCAUGGGUAGCAAACAGGAUUAGAUACCCUGGUA